GAGGUUUACUACAAUCUUCAUGAGGUUAUUUGAAUUUCAGACACAGGAAAAUUAGCAUCAUUCAGUACUCAGUCAUGCAGAAAUGACACUGCAUCCCUAAACUUGCUAAAAACUGGGAUAAAUGAUUCCUUGCCAGAAGGGAUCAGGUCCUUAGUUAUCUACAGGUGGCUUCAUUUUUAGAUAUGUUAUGCUGGAACUCUGCUCUUCUUUUGCUGUUUCCCAGAAGACCUAGUUUCUUCUUGAUAAUUCUAAAAUAUGUACAAGAUGUUCUAAGGAAGUCAUCUGCAGAAUAGCAAUAUAGAAUCAGGUCCACUGAGUAGGAGUCAGGAAAAACAGGGAGAACUUGGAGCUGCUUCCUCUUAGCAGCUGGAUGAAUCACUGGCAGCUGCUGUAAGAAAGUUCGGAAGCAUCUCCAGAAGGCCCGUAAGAAUGAUGCCCUAUUGUGAGGGGUGGCUUGGAUGAAGCUGAAUUCCCGAAAGAGAAUGAACAUGGUAUGUUCUGGUAAAAUAUUUUAUCACCCAUUGAAGACCAUCUUUGAUCUGAGACCACACUAGACCAAUUUCCUCUGACCAAAGGACAUGGGAAAUGAGGAAAAUCAGUACAUAUAAUCCUUAUACAACUCAAUGAGACAAAAUGGAAGCACACAGCACAGGAAGCAGUCCUCAGUAAGCCACCGUUCAUAAACAGCUUUGCUGAAAGCGUAACAAAGGUUCUGUUGUGCUCUUGCAUGGCAGGGCCAGUAAGCAGCAGGGGCAGAUGAACUCUUUACGAAACAAAGGUUCUGUCUUCAUGCAAAUGUUUGCAUUAAUAAAAAAUGAAGAAAAAGAUAUAGAAAAUGCAGGCUAGCUGGACAUAAUAGGUCUCUAAACGGGAGGUUUUUCACAUUUUUCAGGCGGAGUCAGCAGGUCUUUUAAAAACUUUGUCAUUCUGAACAUUUCACAGACAUCACAAGAAAGACAUGCAAAUAACAGAAGCAAAUCAAAGGACAUCCCGCUGCUCUGCUGGCGCCUCCCUCAUCCAUGCCUGGUUUGUCAUUUUCUGUUAACCCUAGUGCUGGCUGCUGUUUUGUUGAGGAAUGGAGUCCCUAGCCCAUGUGGCAGUACAUGUUCAGCCAGCUGGCCCCUGCACUGAUGACAUUACAAUGCAAGCCAUGUACUACCACUCAGGGACACGUGCUGCCAGGCAACAAGUCCAAUGUGGGUUUUUUGCACACCCGGCUUGCAAAUCUGCAUGGGAAAGAACCUCUAAACUGACCUCUAAACUGACCUCUUAAUAAGAUAUGAUCUUCUUGAGUAUGAGCAUCACUGAGUAGUUCUCUGAAGAUGGACUUACUGAGGACCAGAUAUACAAAAUCUAAAAUCUGAGGGGAGAGGUUGACCAAAUACCCACUAUGUGUCAAGCACCAUAUUAUGUGUUCAACCUGUGUUAUCUCAUUUUACCCUGACAACCACCAUCUAAGGUAGCUACUUACUAUUUUCAUUUUAUAGCUGAGAAAACUGAAGCUUAACAGGGGUUAUAAACCUAAGGUCACACAGCUAAUAAUGGCAAGCCA